UAGUUCUGCGGGGUGGCUGAGAGGUGCGGGGACGGCCCUGCGGGCGCCCGGGCCCCUGGACCGCCGGGCCCCGGGGAGCCUGGCAGGGGGAGCGGGGAGGGGGCUCCGGGCCCACGGGGGAGGGCGGCGGGUCCUCGGCCCCCCCCCCCCCCCCGGCUACCGGGCGCGGAAACCCCAGGAGCUCUGUCAAGUGCGGGGUGUUUGCGUGAUUUCACCUAACGCCGCCAUGAAGCCCUGCCGCCACGGCAGGCGCGCUCCCGCGGCUGGCUGGGAGGUGCAGCGCUGCAGCCGUGGGGAGCGCCAGGGGUAAAAGUGACCAGUGAGUUGUUGGGGGCGUCGGAAAUCACAGUUCUUAAGUAGUGGUGGGGAUAAACCAGCAUCUUGCUAUCUCAUAGUGACCUAGGUACGUAAACAGGGAUAUGACUGAAAAUGAACACGGCACAGUUUGUGUUAAAGGAGAGGUGUUCCAGCCCUUGGACCAUUUUUGUGGCCUUCCUCUGGACCUGCUCAAAAUAUGUCUUUCUUGUGCUGUGGACUGCGGAGCUGGACACAGUGCUCCUGGUGCGGUCUCCUUCCAGGUUCAAAAACUACACAACUUCAAAGAAGUAACCAAUUUUCUUUUAUAGGUAACUAAGGAACACGGAGCAAAACGCCCACCUAAGCUGGAGGGGAAGAGAACUACCGUUCAGAGACAUCCAAAACCAGGAGAGAUGCUGACAAACUCUGAUUCUCCUACACCAUUUAUACUGGCUGACAGAAUGAGUCACGUUAUGCUACUUUUUAAUAGCUUUCUCACCUUCCUGAAAUGAAUUACAUGCUUGCAGAGCAGUGAUGGUAAACUAGGAUUCAUAGCUAUCAUUAUUAGCUUUGCAACAUCCUUAACAUCAGCGUAGCUAUUUGUAUUCAGUACCCAUGAAUCAGCUGUAAUAUAUUGUGAUAAAUAAUCUGUCCAGAGGGACAUCAGUAUUGCAUCUGAUGAACAGCCCAGACUAAUCCUGUGAAAUCUGCUUUGAUGCAGCCUGUGAAGUUAGGUCUUGUUAUAUCUCUGUAUUGGGGGGUGGCUAUUAUCGGUUUAUUCCUCCUGAUAAAAAAAUUGUUGAGCAGCUUUUUCAGAAGAAUUUUAAUGCCUUGGUAUUUGUGACAUAAAGUUGAUGUUUUCAGCAGCAGAGUGUGACCCCGCUCUCUCUAUUAGUUACAUAUACACCAUUACAUUAAAAGCUCACCUAAAGCAAAAGGAACAUAUUUGGCCAUGAUGGAGGGUAUCCUUUUGAACACUAUAUUCCAAGAUCUCUCUGUGGUUUUGAAGGUUCAGCUGAAUCAAUUUUCUGUCACCAGGUUAUGCAAUAGAUUCUGUUUCUAUUACAAAAGAUGUGACAUUAAAAAAAGCAUGGGAAGAUGUGAGGGCUUGUGGCAGCACCAAGCUGAAUCUGUAAGGCAACAGCCUGAAACAAUUGCAGGUUACAGAAAACAGCCCCAUCUACAUUGUCUGCAUGCUGAGCCUGUUAAUGCUUAUUUAAAUGUUUAUUUAACCUCCUCUUACCAAGUACCCACAGCAGUGGGGGAAGAUGUGAAUUAAUACCUGUCACCUACCAGUGAAAGCCAGAAAUGGUAAAGGCCAGAAAUCCUGGCCUCAUUGGUACUGGCCAGACAGCAGAUGCUUUUAGCUUUUCUCUGCUGUUGGAUAGACCUUCAGAUCUGUAUAGAAGGGAGCCACAUUUAAGGUGAAUAAGAAAUUCUUACCUUUCAUUUACUAAAAUUGCACUGGCAGAGCAGUUGUGUUUCAAUAGCACAAAGAUCUGGGUGUCCUCUAAAAUCUUCCAUAUGGCAACCUAGAGUAAAUGAGAUUAACAUCCCUGCAGGGUACAGGAAAUGUUCUGAUGGUAACUAGUUAGUAGUUAAGGUAGUGUGUACUAGUGGGUGACUAUUCUGACUCUCUUUUCAUGGCACAGGGGUCUGUUGCUGACUCUGCUAGUGACCUUUAGUCCCUUUCUCCCUAAGUGCCCCUUGUUCCAUUGUCCUUCCGGCAGAAGAAGAUGACACAGAGGGUCCUGAAUGACCCAGGUGAUUCACCUGACUUAAAGGCUGGAAGCUGCACAGCCCAACAGAUCAGCUGUGUAAGUACACAGUCCACCACAGAGCCAGAAUCAAUCAUAGAAUCAGAAUGGUUUGGGUUGGAAGGGACCUGUAAAGGUCAUCUAGUCCAAAUCCCCUGCAGUGAGCAGGGACAUCUUCAACUAGAUCAGGUUGCUCAGAGCCCCGUCCAGCCUGACCUUGCAUGUUUCCAAGCAUGGGGCCUCUACAGCCUCUCUGGGCAACCUGUUCCAGCGGUUCACCACUCUCACUGUAAACAUUGUUUUCCAUAUAUCCAGUUUAAAUCUACCCUUGUUUAGUUUAAAACCGUUACCCCUUGUUCUGUCACAAGAGACCUUGCUAAAGAGAUUGUCCCCAUCCUUCCUAUAUUCCCCCUUUAAGUACUGGAAGGCUGCAGUAAAGUCACCCUGCAGCCUUCUCUUUUCCAAGCUGAACAACCCCAACACUCUCAGCCUGUCCUCAUAAGAGAGGUGCUCCAGCCCUUGGAUCAGUUUUGUGGCCCUCUUCUGGACCUGCUUCAACAGUUCCAUGUCCUUCUUGUGCAAUAGUUGUCUCCUUUCAGUAGGACUAAUUUAACUUAAGCCCACCAAAGCAUUGCUAGGGCUGUAAAGUGUCUGGGUCCUUGUAUUUCCUGCAACCCUGCCAUGCAGAUGUUCUGGCUUAGGAUGCCACCAGCUCAGGGGUCUGAAAGACCCUUUGGCUCAGCACAUGGAGCUGCCGUGCUCUAAGCAUUGUUGCUGGGAAGGGAGAAUCAUCUUUGCUCCAACUGGUGAAUCACCUUUAACCUGGUGCCACACUCCAUUGUUCCCUGUAUAAACAUUCCUACUCUUUCUGCUAUGGACUUGUAGCUUGUCUACAUAAUAUGUGCUGCCAGUUUAUUAAGAAAUAAGAUCAUGUUGUUAAUACAACUUUUUUCAACCAACCCUCUAGAGUUUACCUACCAAUGAAGAAAGACUUACAAAAAAGAAAGUUUAUAGCCUGUCAAAUACAAAUUCUACAAAACGGCUUUUAUAUUUAAGGUUCGUUUAUGUUUAUUGCCGUAGUAGUACAAAUGAUGUUGAUGUGAUUUAAUGGGCUGUUAGCACAAUAAUGCACUGUGCCUUAAAAGUGACACAAAUUUCUAUCCUCCAUUUGGAUGUCGUAAUUGACUCAGAAUGCAAUGAGAUGUGUUCUUCCAUUACCUAGCUCUUUGCCUGUUGUCUGAUGAUGAAUUUAGGGUUUUAUAGAUUUCAGAUAUAUUUUUCUGAGUUUAACAGCUUUAAAUGUGACUUCCUUUUGCCAGCACCUGAUAUAUCAAUACAAUCUCAUACAGUUGACGAUGACAUUUGGCAGUUUGUGUCAGAUACAUGUGUUCAGUACUUCUUACGUGAAGAUUUACUCUGUAGAAGUAGUAGUUAAGAGUGUUUAUUAUAAAUCCCAAAAAAACCAUGUUGAUUUAUUUUAAAAUAAAAUAAAUUCUUAUAUACUG